CUUAAUAAUUUGUUAAUUCCUUCAGUGGAUAUUUAAUAAGUAACAGGUAUGUACCAAACUGCUUUUGGUAUUGGGGACAUGGUAGUGAUUAAGAGAGAGAAUCCCUGUUUUAGCUUCUGUUUUAGUUUAGGGGAGGGAGUGGUAUGUAGAAUAAGCAAUGAUUAAAAUAAGUAUGUUAUAUAGCAUAUUAAAAAGUAUGAAUUUUGUGCAAAAAAAAAAAAAAACUAGGAAGGAAAUAAUUAUUAAUGGAAGAGUUGCAAUUUAAAAUAGGGAGUCUGGGGAGACCUCACUGAGAAGGUGACCUUUGAAUAAACAUUAAAGAUGGUAAGAGAGGGAGCUGUGUAGAAAUCUGAUGGAAAAGCAUUCUGGAUAAAGCAAAACAAGAAAUAUAGAGACCAGAGGUGAGAUCACAUCUGUGUGGUUAGAGUGGAGUGGUGAGAGGAAAAGUAGUUGAGAUGAAGUCAAAUAAAUUAGGGAAUGGCAGAGUAUAUCUGGCCUUAUAGGCCUUUGUGAGGAUUGGUUUUUACAUCAAAUGUAAUAGAUGUAAAGGGUAGAAUAGUGAUAUGGUUCAGUUUGUUAGUUCUCUAGCUGUUGGUUUAGAAUAAAAGUGGGCUGUGCAGUAAAGGUAGAAGCAUUGGCCUUAGGAAGUGAUUGUAAUAAUACUGAGAAAUGAUGGUUUGGGAUCAGAAAUGGAGAUGGUGGGAAGUGGACAGAUUCUGGGUCUGAUUUGAAGCUGGGCAGUGCAUCUACUGAUGUAGCUGGAUGGGUGUGUAAGAGGUAGAAGAGUUAAAGAUAACUUCCACUGUUUUCAAUUUGAGCAGCCUGCAGGAGGGAGUUGCCAUUAGUGAGGUAAGAAAGGCUUUAAGGGGAAUAGGUCAGAGUGGGGGAGAUAGGAGCUCAUCUGUAACUGAUACUUUGAUGUCCGUUAGACAUUUAAGUAGCAAUAUUGAGUGGGCAGCUAGAUAAAUAAGCAGGAUAGUAGUCUACACUAGAGAUAAAGAAUUUGAGGUAUAGGUACUAUUUAAAGCCAUAAAUUGGAUACGAUUAUCUAGGAAGUUUAGAUUGAGAAGGGAAGAAACUGGAGUACUGAAUUCUGGAGUCCUUUAAUGAUAAAAUAUUAGGAAGAUAAGGAGUAACCAGCAGAGGGGACUCAAAGGAACUGCUAGAGAGGCAGGAAAAUUAGAUGAGUGUGAUAUUCUAGAAGGCAAGGGGGAGUGUUUUAAGAAAAGGGAGUUGUUGGCUAUGUGUUUUGCAGUGGUGAGUUUUAUAGAAUGUGGAGGUUAUUAGUUAACUCUGGAAACAAUUUCUGUUUAGUGGUGAUGUUAAAGAUGUGCUUUAAGUGGAAGUGAAAGAAAGGGAGAAGGAAUUGGAGGCAGUAGAUAUAGAUAGUUCUUUUGAGAUUUGCUGCAGAAAGACUCAAAGAAAUGGAGCAGUGAUUGGAGAGGGGAAUUGAGGAAGAGGAAGGAAUUAGGGAAAAUAAAAGAUGUAAGAUGUGAAUCAGUAUAAUUGUAAGCUCUGGAAAUGACAAUAUACAAAGGGAGAUUUUUGUUGAGCUGCAAGGAAACAAUAAUUGGCUGGAGGUGCCCUUUAAGAGUAGAAAGAGAGAAAAUAUAACAGAUAGUGGAAGAAUACAUUUGUUUGUUCUUUCAUUAUCUAGUACUUACUCUUAUGGGUACAGUUUUGGAAGCCUGGAACAUCUAAUGGGACAUUCUAGGUGUUGAUGUUGUUAGUAACAUAGGCAGUUCAUCUGUGGUAACAGGAAAGAUGUUGGUAAGUGGGAGCUUCUGGAAAUUUUCUUCUAAAAAAGCAGAAGCAUGGGCCGUAGCUAUGAGGGAAGAGCUAUUAGAUGUUUGAAGAGAGGAGAAGAUUUAAAAUAGUCCUAGGAAAGUAGAAGAGGGAAUGUAUUAGAACAAUGUUGUAUGGGUGCUGGGCAUUAUUGACAGUUACUGUUGAUGAUGCAUAGAGCAGGCAAAGCAUUUUUCAUAAACUAAAUUAUGAUUUAGCCUAGUCAUUAUAGUGAAGUUAAAUAGGUACCAAGGGAAUUGAGAAUGUAUGCAUGGGAAUAAUUUUGAUGAAUGGUUUGGAAAUAGGAUGGAAAUGAGUAGAUGAAGACUAUGAGAGGUAGUGAAAGAGUGAUAGGAUGAAUGGAUUUUCUGGUGUUGGAUUGAAAGAUUUUUGGUGCCUAGGAAUAGAGGUAAUGAGCUAGAGAGAAGUGGUAGUCAGUGACUAGGAUGUUUGGAAUUAAGAUCUUAGAGAAGUUGUAGUUAUUGGUGAUAAAGGGAAAUAAUACUAGAGAUAGGAAGGAAAAAAAGAUCCUGGGGGAAUAGAACUUAAAGAAUGGAGGAGUUAGGGUGUAUGGACAUAGAAAUUGCUAAAUAUUAAUAUUGUUGGAAAGACUAACAGUGAUCCAGGAGAAAUUUCUCAAAUCCUUGAGAAAUGAGAGCAAGCAGUAUAACGAUUAACAGAUAACUAUACCAAAAAGAGUGUUAAGUGGUAGAGUCUGAUGGCUUUCGAUUUAGUCUGUAUUGAAGGAGAAUGCAGGGAGAAUGGUCUGGCAUUAGCAACGAAGAGCAAAGAAUACAUCUGUCUUGCUUCUGGUCUAAUGAUAGGAAGAAAAUGGAAAAAAAAAAUCAGUCAAUAUUUUCACUAGCUAUAGGGAGCAAUGUAAUUAGGGGAUUUAGAAGUUGAAAGGAAUGUUCAGGAAAAUGGUUGAGGUUUUGUUAUUGGGUUCUACAGAGUACAGUGAAAGGGUUACAGGAUCUGAGAGGAAAUGUUAGAUGAGGACAGAAUAGGAUGUAUGUGGAACCAUAUGAAAAUCAGAGUAUGGGAAAUGAGGGGUGACUGAGGUGUCUGGGACUGUGGUACAGAAGGAUGAAAAGGCCCAGUAAGAUUGAUGAGUUGUGGUUGUUUAAGGACAGUUAGUGUGGUGAUGCUGGGUUGCGGAAUGCUGAGGUGGCUAACAAGGACCCUAUCUCCAUUCCAUAGAGGGAGACUGUAGGAAUAGGAAUCUGCUUAUUAUUUAGUACCUGGCAGCUUGUUGACUACUAGGUUUGCUUUAGAGGAGCCAGUUAUAUGAGGAAGGUUUUACUCUGUAGUGCUGCAUCUACACUUGCUAGAUUUGUUC
rnacentral:lncRNA from 1 species